CCCUAGUCCAUGAGCACUGAGGAAGGGACUUUAAGGAAUCCCUCUCAUUUUGACAAGGAAAGCAAAAGCCCAGAGAGAUCACACAACUAUUUAGAAAGGUAGGAACAGAAAGAGCUGUCUUCAGACUUCUUCUCUGGGAGGUUGAUGGGUUUUCCCCUUGGCUUUCGAAGAGGGAGGUCUGGCCUCAAUAACUGGCAGUGCUGUCUUCCUGGGACUCGGGCUCCACCCCUUCACCAUGGGCGUGCAUGCUCACAGCUGGCACUCAUUCCCUCACGGAAGCCUUCCCUGGGCUAAAGGCAUCAUCAAGAGGUAAGAAGUACAGCUUCACAGGUACCCAGAGCCUCUCAAAUAUAGGCAUGAUGGAAUGAAACCUCCCCACCCCAGUCCCCAAAGUUGGUCAUCAGAAGAGGGAGUGGCCGCCUGCCUCUAAACACUAAAAAUCUAAGUUCCCUCUAGUCACCAACGCCCACCUGGCACGGAAAGGCCUUGUUUUGGUGCCUUUGACCCCAUUUACACUCCAGCAACCUUUACCCCCACCUUUCUGGCCUUCCCCUGCACACCAGCCCUUCAUUUCUGGGGGCUGUGGAGAGUCAGGAGACAGCUUGGUGGCCUCCUCCACUCCCUCCCAGACUUCAGGUCCCAGGAGAUCCUCCAGUGACCUAUUGUCCUGGCACCUGACCUUCUCCCUACCCCCUACCUUGCUUCCACAAGCUGGGAAGGGGACAGGAAAUGCACAAAUAAUUAUAGCCCAAGAGGGAAGGAGGGAGGGAGGGUUCCAGCCCACUGGCUCCAGGCAAUAGCUACAGCCAGUGACCCGGAGAGCGGAGAGCCGGAGAGCCAGAGGGGUAGCGGAGGAGGACCCAGGCUCAUGAUAAGGAAGAC
rnacentral:lncRNA from 10 species